rnacentral:rRNA from 1 species
GACGAACGCUGGCGGCGUGCUUAACACAUGCAAGUCGAACGGAAAGGCCCCUUCGGGGGUCCUCGAGUGGCGAACAGGUGAGUAACACGUGAGUAACCUGCCCUUGACUUCGGGAUAACUUCAGGAAACUGGGGCUAAUACCGGAUAGGAAUCCUUGCUGCAUGGUGGGGGUUGGAAAGCUUCGGCGGUUUUGGAUGGACUCGCGGCUUAUCAGCUUGUUGGUGGGGUAGUGGCUUACCAAGGCUUUGACGGGUAGCCGGCCUGAGAGGGCGACCGGCCACAUUGGGACUGAGAUACGGCCCAGACUCCUACGGGAGGCAGCAGUGGGGAAUAUUGCACAAUGGGCGGAAGCCUGAUGCAGCAACGCCGCGUGCGGGAGGACGGCCUUCGGGUUGUAAACCGCUUUCAGCAGGGGCGAAGCUUGUGGUGACGGUACCUGCAGAAGAAGCACCGGCUAACUACGUG